UGUAAACCGCUUCAGGAGGGCGAAGCCACUCGGGUUAAUAGCCCAGAGGGUGACGGUACCUCCAGAAGAAGCCCCGGCUAACUACGUGCCAGCAGCCGCGGUAAUACGUAGGGGGCAAGCGUUGUCCGGAUUUAUUGGGCGUAAAGAGCGUGUAGGCGGUCAGGUAGGUCGGUUGUGAAAACUGGAGGCUCAACCUUCAGAGGUCGACCGAAACCCCCUGGCUAGAGUCCGGGAGAGGAGAGUGGAAUUCCUGGUGUAGCGGUGAAAUGCGCAGAUAUCAGGAAGAACACCCGUGGCGAAAGCGGCUCUCUGGAACGGUACUGACGCUGAGACGCGAAAGCGUGGGGAGCGAACAGGAUUAGAUACCCUGGUAGUCCACGCCGUAAACGAUGGGCGCUAGGUGUGGGAGGUGUCGACUCCUUCCGUGCCGAAGCUAACGCAUUAAGCGCCCCGCCUGGGGAGUACGGCCGCAAGGCUA
rnacentral:rRNA from 1 species